UACGGGGGGAGCAAGCGUUGUUCGGAUUUACUGGGCGUAAAGGGCGCGUAGGCGGUCGUGACAAGUCACUUGUGAAAUCUCCGGGCUUAACUCGGAACGGUCAAGUGAUACUGUCGGACUAGAGUACAGAAGGGGCAACUGGAAUUCUUGGUGUAGCGGUGAAAUGCGCAGAUAUCAGGAGGAACACCGGUGGCGAAGGCGGGUCUCUGGGCAGUAACUGACGCUGAGGAGCGAAAGCGUGGGGAGCGAACAGG
rnacentral:rRNA from 1 species